CGUGGAGCGCCCCGCGCGCGCGCGUGCGCCAAGCCGCGUGCAGGCACUCGAGGGCACCGCCGGCUCGCCCUGAGAGGGGCCUGGCGCCCGCAGCCCCCCACGCCCGAAGAGGGAUGAGGUGCGCCCUGAGAGCCCGGUAGCCUCGGAUCUCCGCGCUGCAUACCCGAUGAUGGAUGAGCCUUGGUGGGAAGGGCGCGUCGCCUCGGACGUCCACUGCACCCUUCGCGAGAAGGAGCUGAAGCUGCCCGCCUUCCGUGCCCACUCCCCACUGUUGAAGAGCCGUCGGUUCUUUGUGGACAUCUUGACCCUGCUGAGCAGCCACUGCCAGCUCUGCCCUGCGGCCCGGCACCUGGCUGUCUACCUGCUGGACCACUUCCUGGACCGCUACAACAUCACCACCUCCAAGCAGCUAUACACCGUGGCGGUCUCCUGCCUCCUGCUCGCAAGUAAAUUCGAGGACAGGGAGGACCACGUGCCCAAGCUGGAGCAGAUAAACAGUACGAGGGUCCUGAACAGCCAGAACUUCACCCUCACCAAAAAGGAGCUGCUGAGCACGGAGCUGCUGCUCCUGGAAGCCUUCAGCUGGAACCUGUGUGUGCCCACGCCCGCCCACUUUCUGGACUACUACCUCUCGGCCUCCGUCAGCCAGAAGGACGGGCACUGCCACAGUUGGCCCACCACCUGCCCCCGCAAGACCAAAGAGUGCCUCAAGGAGUAUGCCCACUACUUCCUAGAGGUUACCCUGCAAGAUCAUAUUUUCUACAAAUUCCAGCCUUCUGUGGUGGCCGCAGCCUGUGUCGGGGCCUCCAGGAUUUGCCUUCAGCUUUCUCCCUACUGGACCAAAGACCUACAAAGGAUCUCAAAUUACUCUCUGGAACAUCUCAGCACAUGCAUUGAAAUCCUGCUGGUAGCUUAUGACAAUGUCUUCAAGGACGCUGUUGCGGUCAAGAGCCAGGCCUUGGCAAUGGUGCCCGGCACGCCCCCUGCCACCACCCAGGUGCUGUUCCAGCCACCCACCUACCCCACCCUGAGCCAGCCGACGACGCCAGCCCUGACACAGUUUCAGACCCCCGUGCAGGACCUAUGCCUGGCCUAUCGGGACUCGCUGCAGGCACACCGCUCUGGGAGCCUCUUCUCUGGGGGCUCUGGCUCCUCCCUCCAUGCCCUGUACCCCACCCUCCAGCCCUUGGACGUGUGUCCGGUGUCCCUCCCCGCGCCCCUCAGCUUGCAGAUGGCCAUCGCAGCUGAGCCCAGGCACUGCCUCGCCACCACCUACGGAAGCAGCUACUUCAGUGGAAGCCACACGUUCCCCACGGGCUGUUUCGACAGAUAGGACACCGUCUGGCCACACAGGGAGCCCUUGGAGACCCACCGGCAGAGGUGGAGGACACAGAUAUUUCACAUGCUGCUGCUUCCUGAAGUGACCUAGCUUUCUGUUCGUGUUCAGCAAGAUACCUUGUUUACAUACUGCAUCAGGGAUUUUGCGAUACUUGAAAAUUCCUUAGGAGAGAAAAAAAUGUUGAUCGCCACACUGCCUGUCCCACGCAAGGGCUGUAGGUUUGGACCCAGCUUGUAACAACAAGCAUGUGGCUGGGGAGAGCCGCUUCCCAGGCUGUCGGCUCAAGAAAAUUCCCCGUCUCAGAUGCUGUGUUCACCUGGAGAACUUCGACAGCCACCCAGAAGGAAAGGUGGUUGAAAGGUAGACAGAAGUUUACAGCCAACAACCCUCACCCCCCUCUACCGGGUGCAGCGGUGCGUGAGUUCAGCUCAUAGGGAAGGCUGGCAAUGUGGAAUGUUUGCUUCAUGCCAGCUGGAGUCGGGGAGCGGGGCACGGACGGAGGUGCACGUCACACAUCCUGCCAGGCAAGCGACUGGUUGGAUCGCAAGCCAGUGUUUGGGCACCUGCAGUAAGAGGACCCUCAGGAAGACUCGUAACCAUGUGCAAUAUGUUCUUAUUCUGAUUUGCAGCUUGUGCUCGUUCUGUUUUUUUGGUGGUUCCGAGUCCGGGGGGACACUGCACCCAUCAGAACUGGGAGGUGUGAAGAACCACGGAAACAUUUUUUGUUUGUUUCGAGAAGAACCCAUCUUGGUUUUCUUGGCUUAUUGGCCAGUCAGUCCAGGAGACUGGCUCAGGGACUACCAGGAAGGCGGCCGUGUGCUGCCGAGUUGGAUCCGAAGGGGAGCAGAUGAAGGCUUCGUGCGGAAGCAGAGUAAGAAGAGGUGGCGCGAGUGAGGCGCCGCUGCCGCUGCGUCACGAGAGUGUGGGAAACUACACGUUUGUUUGUUGCUUUUCUCUUUUUCCUUUGCCAACCUCCUUCUAUUUAUGUGAGACUGGUUUGGGUGCCAAGUUACUGUGUCUGUCUGGCCUGGGACUGGGGCCUGUGAGGGGCCCCCAGUAGAGCCUCACAGCCAGCCCAGCACACCGAACAAGGUGUCCUGCAAUAAAAGGAUCCCCUACUCCUGC